UGAUGGCCACCAUCUAAUGUUAGAGACAGGAAUCAGCAGGUGAUGGCCACCAUCUAAUGUUAGAGACAGGAAUCAGCAGGUGAUGGCCACCAUCUAAUGCUAGAGACAGGAAUCAGCAGGUGAUGGCCACCAUCUAAUGUUAGAGACAGGAAUCAGCAGGUGAUGGCCACCAUCUAAUGCUAGAGACAGGAAUCAGCAGGUGAUGGCCACCAUCUAAUGUUAGAGACAGGAAUCAGCAGGUGAUGGCCACCAUCUAAUGCUAGAGACAGGAAUCAGCAGGUGAUGGCCACCAUCUAAUGUUAGAGACAGGAAUCAGCAGGUGAUGGCCACCAUCUAAUGCUAGAGACAGGAAUCAGCAGGUGAUGGCCACCAUCUAAUGUUAGAGACAGGAAUCAGCAGGUGAUGGCCACCAUCUAAUGCUAGAGACAGGAAUCAGCAGGUGAUGGCCACCAUCUAAUGUUAGAGACAGGAAUCAGCAGGUGAUGGCCACCAUCUAAUGCUAGAGACAGGAAUCAGCAGGUGAUGGCCACCAUCUAAUGUUAGAGACAGGAAUCAGCAGGUGAUGGCCACCAUCUAAUGCUAGAGACAGGAAUCAGCAGGUGAUGUUUACUGUUUAUGAAUGCUCACCAGGACAAGUCUCUUAGAGGGAUUUAUUAAGUUACACUGAGUGGAUGAGCUUCAUAUUGUUCUCUGUGUUUUACGCACCAUUAAAUGCAUUAUCUCUAAUUGUCUUUAAUUCAAUCUAAUAGGGCAUUCAUGCAUUAUUGCCUUCAUAUUAGUAGUGUAUGCAGAGUGUUAUUAGUGAUUUAUUGUCAUUUCAUUUGUGAGUUAUACAUAUUUUCACUAAUGUGAAUUAAAGAGAUUUUCCUUUUGAAUAAGUAUUCAUUUUUAAUCAAUGAAUGAAGUAUUACUUUUUGUUAACAUAAAUAGUAGCGUAUGUGGGAGAUGAAUAUGUAAAUCAAUUGUAGUAAUUUAGAAAUACGAAUUUGCAGAAUUAGAUUUAGAAAAACAGUUAGCGAUAUAAAAGCAGUGCAUUUGGGAGAGGAUAAAUACAUGAACUAACUGACAUAUAUUUACCUGAGAGGGAGAGAGAGAGAGAGAGAGAGA